AUGGGUCCCACUCCUCUCCUGUUACCCACCGGCCUUGAUCUAGUUCUACAGCUAAGGGGCUCCAGGGGAAACCCUGCAGGCCUGGGGCUGAGAGAGGACGUGGGUCUGAGCCCCGCCCCCCCCCCCCCCCCCCUCCAUGCAGGAUCUGCCCCGAGCACAGGCCGGCUGUCCCAGAGGCGGGGGCAAAGGCAGUGGGGAGCGGGGGACCCCCCCCCAGCACAUUGGAUCUGGGUCCUACCCCAGGCCCAAAUGGCUGUGGCUGAAGAGGGUGCUGUCCCUCCCCCACCCCCUUGGUGUCGACUUCAGGAAAGCGGUUCCCCAGGCGCCAGGAGCUGCGGAGGAGGCCGGCCAGCCGGAAGGGGGACAAUUAAAUCCAGGGGAGAAAGAGUUAAGCGAGCUCCCGCCCCGGCCCCCUCCCGCCCCGCACAAUUCACCAGGAAAUAAACAAGAAAGGCUUGUUUCCAUUUGUCCUCGAAAAAUACAAGGAUUUCCUCUCGGCUGGUCUGGUCUGUCCCCCAAGGUCCCUUUGAACCCCAGAGGGCCAGGGCAAGAAGGGGGCCCUGGGGUGGGCACAGGGCUACGUGGGCAGCCCCUCAUUGAGCUCCCAACCGUCCUGUCCCCCUUGGACCUGCAGCCGGGCAGGGGUCUCUCAGGGAUCCUGGAAGGACAGAGGCCCGCCCUGGGCCCCAGGGGGUGAGCCAGAGUCGUUCCAAAGGGGUGAAAGUGGGCUCACAUCCUCGCUUGCUCACUUGUUUACAGAGGACCUGUUGCGGGCAGGACGGCUCUGCUCUGCAAGCUCAUCACACAGACCAGAGACCAACGCUUAGGGAGCAGCUUGUGUGUCCCCUGGGACGAUCAGAAAAGGCCUCUUGAGGACUGAGCACCAGAAGAGUGGGGCUGAGCAUUUGGCAGAGGUCACAGCUUGUGCAAAGGCACUGGGGCGGGAAGGUGCUAGUAUCUUCAAGAAACAGGCAGAAGGUUAGCGAGGCAUGAAAGGAGCAGGGGCUGGUGGCAGGAAGGGCCUGGCAGCGCCCUCAGGCACCACCACCAGCCUGUCAGGAGGCAUUUAGACCUUGAUCCCGUCCCAACAGGCUUUAAGCCCUGUGGUUUACAAUCCCUUUUCGGAAUUGCGCACUGGUUGAUAGGUUAGACAUGGGGUCGGGGCAGGAGAGGGCUCAGCAGAAGCCCGGGUUUCUGGGCACCUGGGCUGACAUGGGUGCGUUGGGGCAGGGCAGGUAUGGUGGUGGGUGAUGUGGAUUAAGGCUGCCCCAGCUAGAGAAGCCCAAGGUGACCUGGCCUACAUGCCAAACUAUACGACCCAGUGGACUUUUUUUAUGGUAUGAAUUAGGGCUGCCCCAGGGAGAGAAGCCCAGGGCAUCCUCACCUACAUGCCGAACAAUAUGGCCAGAUUCGUAUCUAAAGUUAUAUGACUGCACAAUAACCAGACCCCAUCUGCACUGAAAUCAUUUAAUGACUUUUUACAUCAUCUUUUCUUUUCUCCAGUAAAAAUAAGUCACGUACCCAUGCCUUAUAAAAUUAGCCCUAUCUCUCAACUCAGGGCAGCAGCAGGAGCUCUGACUGCCCGUGGGUCCUGUCCCCACGCACCAGCUCUGCUUGCCCAUGGGCUCUGUCCCCAUGCCAGUGGGGGCAGCAGAAGCGACAGCAGCAGGAGCUCUGACCGCCUGUGGGUCCUGUCCCCACGCACCAGCUCUGCCUGCCCAUGGGUCCUGUCCCCAUGCUAUUCUACACUACUUUCUAAAUAAAAGAGCACUACUGCCAGAUCUUGAGAGUCUA
rnacentral:lncRNA from 1 species